UACAGAGGUCUCAAGCGUUGUUCGGAUUCAUUGGGCGUAAAGGGUGCGUAGGCGGCGCGGUAAGUCGGGUGUGAAAUCUCGGAGCUUAACUCCGAAACUGCAUUCGAUACUGCCGUGCUUGAGGACUGGAGAGGAGACUGGAAUUUACGGUGUAGCGGUGAAAUGCGUAGAUAUCGUAAGGAAGACCAGUGGCGAAGGCGGGUCUCUGGACAGUUCCUGACGCUGAGGCACGAAGGCCCAGGGGAGCAAAACGGG
rnacentral:rRNA from 1 species